rfam:Bacteroides sp. CAG:144 genomic scaffold, scf11
UAAGGUGGUUAUAGCAUCAGGGCUCCACCUCUACCCAUACCGAACAGAGAAGUUAAACCUGAUCACGCCGAUGGUACUGCGCAAGCGGGAGAGUAGGUAGCCGCCCCCU